CUUACUAUUUUUCGACUCUUCGUACCUCAAAGGAGAAUCGGCGCUCAAUAUAAUCGACGCAUUCUGCGAGAGUUUCUUUUCCUUUACGCUCAUAGUGAUAUUAUAUUCAAUAUAAAAUGUAGGGCACAACAUCUUGGGCAGACCUGAAGGAAUCCUUAAAAAAGAUCAAAGGUUGGGAGAAGGGGAGGAUUAAAGAUCUAUAGAAUCUUUCUGCCUCUGAAGAUUUCAUCAAUCAAAAAAUUAAUGAUAAUAUUGUCUUUCAAAAGAUCGACAUCCGAAGAAAAUCUACGGAAGAAGAAAUUC